CGGAAGCUGAACGGACGACGGGAGGUGGCGUGGAUGAGCAGCAGCCACCUGAGAAGUGAGGAAACCCGCGGACAGCGCGAUGGAGCCUCACACUGUUGCCCAGGCUGGAGUGCCAUGGCGCAAUCUCAGCUCACUGCAACCUCUGCUUCCCAGGUUCAAGCGAUUCUCCUGCCUGAGCCUCCCAAAUAGCUGGGUCUACAGAAACAUGAACACAGCCCUGAUCAAGCGGAACCGAUACACUCCCGAAACAGGCAGAAAAUCCGACACACACUUGCAACACCAGCCAGCAAAGCUGCACUCACAGUGUCAGAGGACUGGAGGUGGCUGGGAGAACUGGGAGUAAACGACGGGGCACAUGUCCAGCCUUCCUGAGUUCCAGCGCCCUGAAUUAACCCAGCAGCACACCCAUGGGGAGAUGGGCACUUUUGUAUGUGACACGGGCCCCCCGUGAGAAACGCGUGGGGUGCUCUCCCAAGAGCUGACACGUGUACACGCGUGCAAAACCCAGCCCUGGGACUGAGGGGCUCUAGGCCCUGACAGAGGAGCACAGGAGGCCUGUUCCAUUUCAGUACAAUGGGUUCCGUGACUGACCAGGGCUGGGCUCAGUCCUACACCAGACUGACAGCUUCCUCACCCUCCCACGCUUGGGUUUGAAGACAUGUCCACAGGAAGACGCACCAUCAGCGAACGGCUGCUGUUAGGAGAAACAGGAACAGCACCGACCACACGGCGAGCGCGGGACACGGCCAACGCGGCGAGCACAAAAACACAAGAGUGGAGCCU